UCUUAGCCUAUCUUAACUCACCACUCUCUUUCCUCUCCAACCUUCUAGCCGCCUCCUUCAUCUUCUUCAUGGGGGUGAUUUUUGUUCUUCUUAGUUGGGUUAGAUUUACUCUAAUCUAACUCUAGAUUUGUGUGUCUUCAUUUUUUGGAGUUGAGAUGCGAGUUUUGUGGUUUAAGAGGGACGGACUCCGCAUACAAGGCGUCAUCAUCUUCAGAGAUCUCUAAUGGACAGUCAAUCACCUGUAAACUCUCGAUAUUUUCACCUCUUAGUGGAUUUUUAUGUAGGGUCUCACAAAGAGUUUGGUUCACUUAUUUAUUUUAAUUGUCCGUUGUAAUGUUGCAGUGUUUAGUUCUUUAUUGAUAUUUAUCUGUAAUUUAAUUAUUGUAUAUUCACCAUUUAGGAGUUUUGUACUAUGAUGAUACCCCGUCAUGAACUAAUGUUGUAGUAUUUAGAUGAAAAUCCUCAUAAACUAUAAUAUCAUUUUAAUAAAAAAAACUCACCUA